rnacentral:rRNA from 1 species
UACGUAGGGGGCUAGCGUUGUCCGGAAUCAUUGGGCGUAAAGCGCGCGUAGGCGGCCCGGUAAGUCCGCUGUGAAAGUCCAGGGCUCAACCCUGGAAAGCCGGUGGAUACUGCCGGGCUAGAGUCCGGAAGAGGCGAGUGGAAUUCCUGGUGUAGCGGUGGAAUGCGCAGAUAUCAGGAGGAACACCAAUAGCGAAGGCAGCUCGCUGGGACGUACUGACACUGAGGCGCGAAAGCGUGGGGAGCAAACAGG